rnacentral:rRNA from 1 species
UACGUAGGGUGCAAGCGUUAAUCGGAAUUACUGGGCGUAAAGCGUGCGCAGGCGGUUGGGCAAGACAGAUGUGAAAUCCCCGGGCUUAACCUGGGAAUGGCAUUUGUGACUGUCCAGCUAGAGUGUGUCAGAGGGGGGUAGAAUUCCACGUGUAGCAGUGAAAUGCGUAGAGAUGUGGAGGAAUACCGAUGGCGAAGGCAGCCCCCUGGGAUAACACUGGCGCUCAUGCACGAAAGCGUGGGGAGCAAACAGG